GAGUUUGAUCGUGGCUCAGAAUCAACGCUGGCGGCGUGCCUCAGACAUGCAAGUCGAACGAUUAAAGCUCUCUUCGGAGAGUGUAUAAAGUGGCGCACGGGUGAGUAACACGUAAGUAAUCUACCUUUGAGUGGGGAAUAACAGUCGGAAACGACUGCUAAUGCCGCAUAAUGCAGCGGCAUCGCAAGAUGACAGUUGUUAAAGAUUUAUCGCUUGAAGAGGAGCUUGCGGCAGAUUAGCUAGUUGGUAGGGUAAUGGCUUACCAAGGCUACGAUCUGUAACCGGUCUAAGAGGACGGUCGGUCACACUGACACUGAAUAACGAGUCAGACUCCUACGGGAGGCAGCAGUCGGGAAUUUUGGGCAAUGGGCGAAAGCCUGACCCAGCAACGCCGCGUGAAGGAUGAAGUAUUUCGGUAUGUAAACUUCGAAAGAAUGGGAAGAAUAAAUGACGGUACCAUUUAUAAGGUCCGGCUAACUACGUGCCAGCAGCCGCCGUAAU
rnacentral:rRNA from 1 species